rfam:Bacteroides eggerthii 1_2_48FAA genomic scaffold supercont1.3, whole genome shotgun sequence.
AUUUUUGUAAUUGGAAAUGGUUCCGGGCGGUUCGCCGCCACGGAUGAAAAGGGAAUCCGGUGAGAAUCCGGGACAGUACCCGCUGCUGUAAGUCCCCUCAAGGUUGCCGCAACCUGCCACUGGUGUAAUGCUGGGAAGGCGCGACGACUGGGACGAGUCAGAAGACCUGCCAUGACCGGAAAAGGAUU